rnacentral:rRNA from 1 species
UACGUAGGGUGCAAGCGUUGUCCGGAAUUAUUGGGCGUAAAGAGCUCGUAGGCGGUUCGUCGCGUCGGCUGUGAAAACCCGGAGCUCAACUCCGGGCCUGCAGUCGAUACGGGCGGACUUGAGUGUUGCAGGGGAGACUGGAAUUCCUGGUGUAGCGGUGAAAUGCGCAGAUAUCAGGAGGAACACCGGUGGCGAAGGCGGGUCUCUGGGCCGAUACUGACGCUGAGGAGCGAAAGCGUGGGGGAGCGAACAGG